ACUCCUACGGGAGGCAGCAGUAGGGAAUCUUCCACAAUGGACGAAAGUCUGAUGGAGCAACGCCGCGUGAACGAUGAAGGCUUUCGGUCGUAAAGUUCUGUUGUAAGGGAAGAACAAGUGCCGCAGGCAAUGGCGGCACCUUGACGGUACCUUGCGAGAAAGCCACGGCUAACUACGUGCCAGCAGCCGCGGUAAUACGUAGGUGGCAAGCGUUGUCCGGAAUUAUUGGGCGUAAAGCGCGCGCAGGCGGCCUCUUAAGUCUGAUGUGAAAGCCCCGGCUCAACCGGGGGAGGGCCAUUGGAAACUGGGAGGCUUGAGUAUAGGAGAGAAGAGUGGAAUUCCACGUGUAGCGGUGAAAUGCGUAGAGAUGUGGAGGAACACCAGUGGCGAAGGCGACUCUUUGGCCUAUAACUGACGCUGAGGCGCGAAAGCGUGGGGAGCAAACAGGAUUAGAU
rnacentral:rRNA from 1 species